AGUCUUUAUUGAUUUAUCGUCGUCACAGACACGUGGGCCAGUGGCGCAAUGGAUAACGCGUCUGACUACGGAUCAGAAGAUUCUAGGAUUGUGGUGUGGAGGAUUGAGCCAGGACCAGGUUCUCUGCUAAUGCACCUGCACGGAGGAGGCAGAGACUUUAGAGGAGUCAGAAGGAGAUCCCUGGACAAUAAAAGGGACCAACUGAGGCAGCAGUUUGGAACAUGCAAACUUGUCAAGAACGGUUGCAGUCUGAUCAUCCAACUACCACACCCAGGCAGCCAUAUUAUAUGUUCCUUAGCCUCCAACAAGCAGUCUUUCACCAUGUAA
rnacentral:lncRNA from 1 species